UUGAAAAGAACAUUCAAAUAGAUAUUAAUUGAUGAUUACAGCAUAAAUGAAGUUCCAUGAAUUGAUUAUGAAACCACAUAACCCCGCGGCAUUACCUAUUGUCUGCAUAUAACGCUUCAACAGCAACUUAGCGCUUCAUAUUCUUCGUAUAGGAUAGACAACGAGUGACCGUGUCUAUUCGAUAUAUGCCCGAGCGCAGCGAGGGUAUAUAUCGAAUAGACACGGUCACGCGUUUGUCUAUCCGACUUAGACCACGUGACAUAAAAGCUGUAAUCACAAAACUGUGCCGUAUAGCUUCUAUUUCCGUAAGUGUACCGUUAGCGCUUACUUACCAGUUGCCUAUAUGAAUGUAUGCAUGUUAGUUUUCAAAAAUUCUGUGUUCUCCAAAUACAUGUACCGGAUUUACUAAAAUUUGACGCUCAUAUACACUUUGAGUCAGCUGCAGUCGUUAGUGAUGAGCACUUAAAAUGUGAAAAUACUCUAAAUUAAAACUGCUAGACAAUAUUUUUUGUUUGGUGUGGGCAUAUUUGCGAAAAACUAGGACAGAAACUGAUUCAAGACGAUAGACAGUUUCCAAAACCAUAAAGUAAAGAUGUUUGCAUUUGUAAGGAUCGUGCAGAUCCAGUGUUAGACCAACAAGAAAGCUAUGGCAGAGAUUGCGUUAUCUCCAAAUGAAAAUGUCCCAGAAACAAUUACAAUUGUUGUCAUUUUUAAGUGGGGACGUUUCAGUGAUGUGAAAAUUCCAUAUAUAGUAUAUACCCUUUUGGUUCUACAUUGUUAUUCAGCGGAUCGCUGGAUUUUUAUAUUUUCUAUCUAAUGUAAAUACAUGUGGUUAUGGAAACUGUUA
rnacentral:lncRNA from 1 species